AGUCACUGACAUUAGAUACCCGUGUAGUCCAGGGUGUAAACGCUGCAGACUUGGUGUUGGAGGCCCUUUGGGGGCAUUCAGUGCCGGAGAGAAGUUGUUAAGUCUGCUACUUGGGGAGUACGUCCGCAAGGAUGAAACUUAAAGGAAUUGGCGGGGGAGCACCGCAACGGGAGGAGCGUGCGGUUCAAUUGGAUUCAACGCCGGACAGCUCACCAGGAGCGACGGUUACAUGAAGGCCAGGCUGAUGACCUUGCCUGAUUUUCCG
rnacentral:rRNA from 1 species